GGAGGUCGCAGCGUCUGACUCCAGCGUCAUCCGUGCUGAGACUAUAGGGAUCAGUGAAACAGCUGCUUCUCCGAGACUUAACUAGCUGCUAUAGGUCUUCUUCUCUUCCUGUCAUUGCCCUGAACCUUCUUCCCAGCAUUCCUUUCCUCGCUUCUUAUUUCUUUUACUGUCUGCCUCGCCCUGGCUAUCUCUCCCAAGCAGCAAAACCAAAGGCAAACAAUGUCGCUCAGAAUCAGAAGAGCUAUGCUCGCCCAUCAUCAACAGCCAUUCCAGUUGCCUCCAAGCUCCAUCAGCUCAAGACCAGCUAACUUUCAAAUUAGAAAGCAUCAUACAAUGAAAAAGAAAUUGGAUGGAUUCUUGGAUUCUCUGGUAUCUACUGCCAUGCUGAAUGUACUGUCCACUAGUGAAUGAAAAUACACUCCUGUGCAAAUCUACCACACCAAAGAUGUCAUACCAAACAAUGAAAUAUUUCAGAGCAGCCGAUGAGACCUUCACUAAAUUUGCUUCUAAUGACCCUUCACUAUCUCAGGCUCCAAAAUGUAUGACCUUUCAGCAAGUUGUACACAUGCACACAGGCCUCUGAGCCCCAUGUUGCAUUCUGGAAAAAUUAAGAUGGCAUUGGCUGCGCUUUUCUUACAAGUCGCAGGCAGCCCACUGCCAUUAUUUAUUUAGUUGCUCAAAAAUAUUUUUUACCCAAAGGUUCCAACAACAGAAUGCACAAUUAUGAAAACAGAUAAAACCAUUGCAAUUAUAAAACAAGCAAAACUGUUCCAAAUGUUCCAGACAGAAGAAAAUACAAAUUCAGCAAG